AGCAGCCGCGGUAAUUCCAGCUCCAAUAGCGUAUAUUAAAGUUGUUGCAGUUAAAAAGCUCGUAGUUGAAUUUCGGGACCAAUAUGUCGGUCGUGCCUCGGUACGUACUGGUGUCAUUGGUUUCUCCCUUCUGAGGAUCCUUGAUGUCAUUAAUUUGGUGUCUUGGGGAAUCAGGACUGCUACCUUGAAAAAUUAGAGUGUUUAAAGCAGGCAUACGCUUGAAUACAUUAGCAUGGAAUAAUGAAAUAGGACGUUCGAUUCUAUUUUGUUGGUUUCUAGGAUCGACGUAAUGAUUAAUAGGGAUAGUUGGGGGCAUUAGUAUUCAAUUGUCAGAGGUGAAAUUCUUGGAUUUAUUGAAGACUAACUACUGCGAAAGCAUUUGCCAAGGAUGUUUUCAUUAAUCUAAGAACGAAAGUUAGGGGAUCGAAGACGAUCAGAUACCGUCGUAGUCUUAACCAUAAACUAAUGCCGACUAGGGAUCGGAUGAUGUUAA
rnacentral:rRNA from 1 species